UACGUGAGGGCGCAAGCGUUAUCCGGAAUUAUUGGGCGUAAAGAGCGUGUAGGCGGCCAGGUAGGUCUGCUGUGAAAACGUCGAAGGCUCAACCUCGAGAUGUCGGCGGAAACCAUCUGGCUAGAGUCCGGAAGAGGGAGAGUGGAAUUCCGUGGUGUAGCGGUGAAAUGCGCAGAUAUCGGGAAGAACACCCGUGGCGAAGGCGGCUCUCUGGGACGGUAC
rnacentral:rRNA from 1 species